rnacentral:rRNA from 1 species
GACGAACCGUGCGACCGUUGUUCGGAAUCAUUGGGCUUAAAGGGCGCGUAGGCGGGCCCGCAAGUCAGGGGUGAAAUCCCACGGCUCAACCGUGGAAGUGCCUCUGAUACUGCGGGCCUCGAGGGGGGUAGGGGCGUGCGGAACUUCCGGUGGAGCGGUGAAAUGCGUAGAUAUCGGAAGGAACACCGGUGGCGAAAGCGGCGCGCUGGACCCCUUCUGACGCUGAGGCGCGAAAGCCAGGGGAGCAAACGGG